rnacentral:lncRNA from 1 species
ACAAAAUGGUGACGUUUGAGGGGGAGUAAAGGGCAGGGAAUAGAUCGAGACGAGGCUAGAUUGGGGUUGAGCGUGAGGUUCACAGAGCCGAAGAUGUGGGUGACACGUCCAAUUGUCUAGAGGAUAGUGGUGACGAGUUUCCAAUGCAUUAUUAGGUUGCCAGUGCAGCCUUUUUUUCAUUUUUGGAGGAGAUGGAGUGGCGCGCAGAUUUGGCAACACACUUCUCCUAAUGGGAGCCGUCCUAUGAGUUGCCAAGGGUGCGACGG